rnacentral:rRNA from 1 species
CCCUUAGAUGUUCUGGGCUACACGCGCGCUACACUGAUGCGCUCAACGAGUUUUAACCUUGCCUGGAAAGGUUGGGUAAUCUUUUUAAAACGCAUCGUGAUGGGGAUAGAUUAUUGCAAUUAUUAAUCUCCAACGAGGAAUUCCUAGUAAACGCAAGUCAUCAGCUUGCAUUGAAUACGUCCCUGCCCUUUGUACACACCGCCCGUCGCACCUACCGAUUGAAUGGUCCGGUGAAAUCUUCGGACUCUGUGUUUAUUGAUUCGUUUCAAUUUACUACUGGAGAAAGUUGAGUAAACCUUACCAUUUAGAGGAAGGUGAAGUCGUAACA